AUUGAACGCUGGCGGCAUGCCUUACACAUGCAAGUCGAACGGCAGCAUGAUCUAGCUUGCUAGAUUGAUGGCGAGUGGCGAACGGGUGAGUAAUACAUCGGAACGUGCCCUGUAGUGGGGGAUAACUAGUCGAAAGAUUAGCUAAUACCGCAUACGACCUGAGGGUGAAAGUGGGGGACCGCAAGGCCUCAUGCUAUAGGAGCGGCCGAUGUUUGAUUAGCUAGUUGGUGAGGUAAAGGCUCACCAAGGCGACGAUCAGUAGCUGGUCUGAGAGGACAAUCAGCCACACUGGGACUGAGACACGGCCCAGACUCCUACGGGAGGCAGCAGUGGGGAAUUUUGGACAAUGGGCGAAAGCCUGAUCCAGCAAUGCCGCGUGUGUGAAGAAGGCCUUCGGGUUGUAAAGCACUUUUGUCCGGAAAGAAAUGGCUCUGGUUAAUACCUGGGGUCGAUGACGGUACCGGAAGAAUAAGGACCGGCUAACUACGUG
rnacentral:rRNA from 1 species